GAGGGUGUAGCUCAGUGGCAGAGUAUGUGCUUAGCAUGCAUGAGGUCCUGGGUUCAAUCCCCAGUACCUCCA
rnacentral:tRNA from 1 species